GUUCUGCAAAUUAUUAGGUUCCUCGGGAGUAGGCGACAUGGUGAAGUGUCGAACAGGAAGAGAAUGCGAAUGGAGCAAGGAUCCGGAAAACGAGCAGAUUGAAGAUCAACGAAACUGAAAGUUCAAAGUCGAGAAAGAGAGAAAAAUGUGCACAGCAACGGAAACUUAAGAAAAAGAGCACCGGAGACGGCGUUAAUCAUCUCCCCUCCUUCAGGCACCACCGAUGGCUAAAGGCCCAAAACACAAAGCAUUUCUCUUCUCAACAAUUCCAACCACGUUUCUGCAGAAGGAAACGCUCAUGAAGAUGAUGAACGACCAUUUUUAGUGUUGCUUCCUGGUUCGUCUUGCCGUGGACUGGACUCCGCUUCGCCGGAACGGCAAGAUAAAACUAUAUCAGAUUUUAUCCUUUCGCGCUAAAUUUCGGAAAAUAGAAUUUAUAUAUUGUUUGUUUUAUAAGGUAACUAUCCAAAAUGAAAUUCAUAGCUCAAA